rnacentral:rRNA from 1 species
AGAGUUUGAUCCUGGCUCAGGAUGAACGCUGGCGGCGUGCCUAACACAUGCAAGUCGAACGAUUAAAGCACCUUCGGGUGUGUAUAGAGUGGCGAACGGGUGAGUAACACGUGACCAACCUGCCUCUUACAUUGGGACAACCAAAAGAAAUUCUGGCUAAUACCAAAUACUCCGCACAUAUCACAUGAUGUAUGCGGGAAAGCUUUUGCGGUAAGAGAUGGGGUCGCGGCCCAUUAGGUAGACGGCGGGGUAGAAGCCCACCGUGCCGAUGAUGGGUAGCCGGGUUGAGAGACCGACCGGCCACAUUGGGACUGAGAUACGGCCCAGACUCCUACGGGAGGCAGCAGUGGGGAAUAUUGCGCAAUGGGGGAAACCCUGACGCAGCAACGCCGCGUGCGGGAUGAAGGCCUUCGGGUUGUAAACCGCUUUCAGCAGGGAAGACAUCGACGGUACCUGCAGAAGAAGCCCCGGCUAACUACGUG